rnacentral:lncRNA from 1 species
CCGAAUAGCGUGCACCAUAGUACAAUAUUUUUAAGGGUAAACUUCAAAUACUAUUCCUAUGAUUUCGCGCUUUUUCACUUCAGUACUCUGUGAUUUAAAGUGUAUCAUUUUAGUAUCCCGUGAUUUUAUUUUUCUCUUUCCAUCAAUGCCUCCGUUAACUUUUCAUAAAUUAUACACAAAAAACUUAAGAUAUCACACCUAUGGUUUACCGAAUGUUCACUUUAGUAUCCUGUAAUUUUAAUUUUAUCUGUAAUUUAACAAAAAAAUUAACGUAGAAUAAUAACAGAAAGAGGAAAAUGAAACCACAAGUACUAAAAUGAUACAUUUUAAAUUACAGAAUACUAAAAUAAAAAAAAUGCAAAAUUAUGAAAGUGAUAUUUGAAGUUUUUUCUAUUUUUAAAUAAGUAUAAUUCUUGUAAAAA